UACGAAGGGUGCAAACGUUGCUCGGAAUUAUUGGGCGUAAAGCGCGUGUAGGCGGCUUGGUAAGUCGGGUGUGAAAUCCCGGGGCCCAACCCCGGAACUGCAUUCGAAACUGCCUCGCUAGAGUCCCGGAGAGGAAGGCGGAAUUCCCGGUGUAGAGGUGAAAUUCGUAGAUAUCGGGAGGAACACCAGCGGCGAAGGCGGCCUUCUGGACGGUGACUGACGCUGAGACGCGAAAGCGUGGGGAGCAAACAGG
rnacentral:rRNA from 1 species